rnacentral:lncRNA from 1 species
ACGAAGAGGAGGAUCCUCAGACCCCCCCGUCUCCCAGCCGAAGAGGAGGAUCCUCAGACCUCCCCCGUCGACGAAGAGGAGGAUCCUCAGACCCCCCCGUCUGAGCUAAUAUGUUGCUCAGCCGAAGAGGAGGAUCCUCAGACCCUUGCUCAGACGAAGAGGAGGAUCCUCAGACCCCCCCGUCUGAGCAAAUAUGUUGCUCAGCCGAAGAGGAGGAUCCUCAGACCCCCCCGUCUCCCAGACGAAGAGGAGGAUCCUCAGACCCCCCGUCUGAGCAAAUAUGUUGCUCAGCCGAAGAGGAGGAUCCUCAGACCCCCCCGUCUGAGCUAAUAUGAUGCUCAGCCGAAGAGGAGGAUCCUCAGACCCCCUCGUCUCCGCAAGCUAUUGUGCUCAGACGAAGAGGAGGAUCCUCAGACCCCCCCGUCUGAGCAAAUAUGUUGCUCAGACGAAGAGGAGGAUCCUCAGACCCCCCCGUCUCCCAGCCGAAGAGGAUGCACUCUAGGUGUCGUCUCUCUCAUCUCACAACACAGAAGAGGAC